rnacentral:misc_RNA from 1 species
ACGACUGUAAAUUAUUUUUCCGAAUUUCCGACACUAUAUUCAACCAUGAUGACGUUUAUGUUAUCAAAUUCUAAACUCUUUUAUAAUUUUGGCUUCAUCAAACCGAAACGCAUGUAUUACUUAUGAUUUCAAGUUAACUUUAUUAAAAAAGUUUGGGUUAGUUUGCACGGAAAUCUGAUCAGAUUGUUGGUAUAUGGUACGACCCGAGGGCUUGGGAAACACCCAGCCUUAUUUAAUAGGUCAUCCAGCUCGACGACAAUGCGCCUGGAUUUUGGGGAAUUCAAGUUAUUGUAGCCGCAGCGUGUAUCCACACGAUUGGGGUGGGUCAUUCGUGGUCUACACGGUUGAUGAGCCGCCCAUGAAGUAUAUUUACAAAAAUUUAUGUGCUUCGUUUGGCAAUACCGUAUUUUACAAUUAUCUACUGACGCCUGCAAUGAGGCACUCAAUAAAGCUUGCCGUCCUGGCAACUAGCAACUAGAGGUC